rnacentral:rRNA from 1 species
UACGUAGGGCGCAAGCGUUGUCCGGAAUUAUUGGGCGUAAAGAGCUCGUAGGCGGUUUGUCGCGUCGGCUGUGAAAACUCGGGGCUCAACCCCGAGCCUGCAGUCGAUACGGGCAGACUAGAGUGCUGUAGGGGAGACUGGAAUUCCUGGUGUAGCGGUGAAAUGCGCAGAUAUCAGGAGGAACACCGGUGGCGAAGGCGGCAUCCUGGACCGAGAUCGACGCUGAGGCGCGAAAGCUAGGGGAGCAAACGGG